AUGGCUCGUCUUCCUUUGGCCACCACGAGAUCUCGACGAAGGAAUUUAGCAUUUAGGAAUAUUUCGAUUAGCAUCAUGCUUAUGUACUUUUAUAUAUGGUUAUUAUUUGCACUAGUCUAUAAAAGGAGGUUGUGGAAGAUAGAAAAGAGGAUUAGAAAUAGAGAACUUAGAGCCGCACAUUUGUACUAACUCAUUGGCGAGAGUGAUGUAGCUUGCUGGUGGUCUAGAGUUCACAAGGAACACAUCGCUGGAAGAGAUAGUGGCUACAUUUCUCUACAUAAUAUCACACCAUCUAAAAAAUAG
rnacentral:rRNA from 1 species